rnacentral:lncRNA from 1 species
AGGCAUCUCUAUAGCACUCAUAUUUGGAUUGGUUUGAAUGAUCUUGGCACUGAAGCUAACUAUAAAUGGACUGAUGGUUCUACAUAUAAUUACGCUAACUGGGACCAUGGAGGACCGGAUGACGUGUUUCGACAAGAACAUUGCAUACAUCUGGAGUGGGAAGGAACGUGGAAUGACAAUCACUGUCAGUACAAAUAUUCGUAUAUCUGCAAGGCAUAUAAUGGUAUGUGUACAUACGCUCCCAUUUUAAUAUUUAAAAUGUUACACGUUACUUCACCGUCUUGUUAAAAUGCACAUGUAUUCGAAAUUCACAUAAAUUCCAAAGAAAUGAAAUCGACUGUCCAGAAAUGAUCUCUUCACCAUUGAUAUGUAUGUCCACAUAAUUUAUACACAAUGUACAUUGUAUGCAAAUGGCAAAUGUGUACUGCGCGGUGUGCCAAGUGUAGGUAUAGUACCACUAAUAACAAAAUUUGUAGGUAGGGACACAAGUGCACUGUUAAUUUCAUAGAGAUAUUUAAUUCCACCUGAGAGUUAAAAUUUGGGAGUAAAAAUUCGAAGUGUAAUUUACUCAAAAAUGGAGUUAAAAGUACUUUGUUUCCAACAUAUAUAUUCUACACUGGGAAUAAAUGCAUGCAGUUAAAGGAGUAAAAUAACGGAAUAAAUUUUACUUUUUAUUUUUCCGGUCAGCAAUCUCAGGUCCGUAGCGUAAGUGGAUCUUCUGAUUGGUUGACAAACGUCCAUAUCACACAUUACGGACCUUUCGCAUUUCGCGCCAAAACAAACAGAGGAGUGAAGACAAAUUUCAAACAAAAUAAAUUAUCUAAAAAGUUGAAAAACCUUCCCUAUCGAUACUAAAGGUGGGAAAAUAUGCUGAACUGACUUCAAUGGAUUUAAUAUCAAGCUAACCUGAAGUUCAGGCCCUAAUCACAGCAUAGGGCCUGACACAAAACCUGUCUAAACUGCGGAAUUCCCGUCCAUCUGGUGGAAUGGAAAACUGAUUGGAUUAUCAGCGUCAUGAAAGAUUUUGAUUGGUUGCAAGUUCACAUAAACAACAGUUUUAAAAAUAGCUCGGUCAAGGGCUAAAGGCGAUAAUUAAUAUAAAGGUCAAACGCACCUAACAAAUCCAUGAUCGAUUUCUUAGAAUUUCUUUUCUUUUAUGCUUUAUGGCAGAAAAUAAAUCGAACAAACAGUAUUUUGAAAGGGCUUUGUCAAAAUCUUUGACGAAUUUUGGAAAAACGACGCUGAAAGUACAGCCAAACUAGUCCGAUUCUAUAGCUUGCUGUUGACAGCCAAGAUGUUCUGUCAACUGGCUUCGCCGGCAAAAGUCUUAUUUUAAAUACAGGUCCUACCGGUGUUGUUUUCUGAGCUACAUCGGCUUCUUCGUGAUACGAUUGAGAAUUUCAUUGUUGCUGUUGUUAGCCCGUUAGAGCAUAUCCGCGUCCAGCAAGUUGAGAUCUUGAGAAAGCUUGGCAGUCAAGCCGUGCACAGAGCUGACUAAUUAAAUCUUUGUUUUCUGUUCGAGAGAAACUGACUCUUAAUUAUAUAAAAGUACCUUGAAUUUUUAAGUUUAAUUAAAAAGCAAAAUGCACACUCUGCGGACAUGUUCAUGAGAAUAUAAAGUUUUUGUGUAACGAAAUCUACAAUACUUGUCAAUCAUAUUGUAUGCUGUGUCUAAAAAUAACAUGUGGGCGUCCCACGGUCUAGACAGGUUUUUAGUCAGACUCUAUUCUGUGAUUAGGGUCUGAACUUCAGGUUAAUAUCAAGCCCGCAAUGUAUUUUUCCCAAUCUAAAUGCAAAAUUCCUCUUUGCCUUCAGAGUCUCUUUCUUAACCACGUAAAAAUGUAUUUACCCACCUUUUCACCAACUUACGGCACAUCAUGAUGACCAAAUUACUACAUUAAUUGACACAUUCGGGCUGGUGCGCCUACAGCAGACUCCCACUAACUGCUAGUUUCCACAUUUAAAGUUCACCUACUCCAAGGUAUAUCUCUUUCUAUGAGGGCACCUCUGCUGACAAAUUAUUCAAAGAUAUACUGGUGAGAAAAGAAUAGCUUGUAUAUGAACAAUGUCGUGCAUAAAUUGUCAUAAACCAAGAACUAAGAAUUUACUGAAAUAAUUAAUUUAUUUUAAAUCCUCAGAAAAUGUUAAUGUUGCUACUCAUGCUUAUUUUUUUUCUUUUAGAGUCGUAUAAACCACCCAUAAAACCGACAGAACAACAAAGACCUGAAAAGU